GUCCAUGGGCGGGAAUCGAACCCACAACGGGCAGAUGCCAUGUCCACUAGGCUACCCUGGA
rnacentral:tRNA from 1 species